UAUGUGACGGGAGGUGUUUCUUUUCUGGUCCAAUCUAUUUGGAGUUCUGUAGGCUUCUUGUAUGUCUAUGGGUAUCUCUUUUUUUAGGUUAGGGAAGUUUUCUUGUAUGAUUUUGUUGAAGAUAUUUACUGGUCCUUUGAGCUGGGAGUCUUCACUCUCUUCUAUACCUAUUAUGCUUAGGUUUGAUCUUCUCAUUGAGUCCUGGAUUUCCUGUAUGUUUUGGACCAGUAGCUUUUUCCGCUUUACAUUAUCUUUGACAGUUGAGUCAAUGAUUUCUAUGGAAUCUUCUGCUCCUGAGAUUCUCUCUUCCAUCUCUUGUAUUCUGUUGGUGAAGCUUGUAUCUACAGCUCCUUGUCUCUUCUUUUGGUUUUCUAUAUCCAGGGUUGUCUCCAUGUGUUCUUUCUUGAUUGCUUCUAUUUCCAUUUUUAAUUCCUUCAACUGUUUGAUUGUGUUUUCCUGGAAUUCUUUCAGGGAUUUUUGUGUCUCCUCUCUAUGAGUUUCUACUUGUUUAUUUAUGUUUUCCUGGAAUUCUUUCAGGGAUUUUUGUGUCUCCUCUCUAUGGGCUUCUACUUGUUUAUUUAUGUUUUCCUGGAAUUCUUUCAGGGAUUUUUGCGAUUCUUUCAGGCAUUUUUGCGAUUCCUCUCUGUAGGCUUCUACUUGUUCUCUAAGGGAGUUCUUCACGUCUUUCUUGAAGUCCUCCAGCAUCAUGAUCAAAAAUGAUUUUGGAAGUAGAUCUUGCUUUUCUGGUGUGUUUGGAUAUUCCAUGUUUGUUUUGAUGGGAGAAUUGGGCUCCGAUGGUGCCAUGUAGUCUUGGUUUCUGUUGCUUGGGUUCCUGCGCUUGCCUCUCGCCAUCAGAUUAUCUCUAGUGUUACUUUGUUCUGCUAUUUCUGACAGUGGCUAGACUGUCCUAUAAGCCUGUGUGUCAGGAGUGCUGUAGACCUGUUUUCCUCUCUUUCAGUCAGUUAUGGGGACAGAUUGUUCUGCUUUCCGGCGUGUGGUUUUUCCUCUCUACAGGUCUUCAGCUGUUCCUGUGGGCCUGUGUCUUGAGUUCACUAGGCAGCUUUCUUGCAGCAGAAAAGUUGGUCUUACCUGUGGUCCCAAGGCUCAAGUUCGCUCGUGGGGUGCUACCCACGGGCUCUCUGCAGCGGCAGCAACCAGGAAGACCUGUGCCGCCGUUUCCGGGAUCUUCAGUGCACCAGGGUUCCAGAUGGUCUUUGGCUUUUUCCUCUGGCGUCCGAGAUGUGUGUGCAGAGAGCAGUCUCUUCUGGUUUCCCAGGCUUGUCUGCCUCUCUGAAGGUUCAGCUCUCCCUCCCACGGGAUUUGGGUGCAGAGAACUGUUUAUCCGGUCUGUUUCCCUCAGGUUCCGGCGGUGUCUCAGGCAGGGGUCCUGCCGCUCCUGGGCCCUCCUCCACGGGAGCCCAGAGGCCUUAUACAGUUUCCUCUUGGGCCAGGGAUGUGGGCAGGGGUGAGCAGUGUUGGUGGUCUCUUCCGCUCUGCAGCCUCAGGAGUGCCCACCUGACCAGGCGGUUGGGUCUCUCUCUCACAGGGUCUGGGGGCAGAGAGCGCUUCUUGUACCUUGAUAGACACACACUUCUUUAGGUUAGGGAAAUUGUCUUCCAUGAUUUGGUUGGAAAUAUUUUCUGUGCCUUUGAUCUCUGGGUUCCUUCUCCUUCCUCUAUUACUACCAUUUGCAGAUUUGGUUUUUUUUUCAGAGUCCCAGAUUUCCUGGUUUGUUUUUUUUUACAUUUAACAUUUUAUUUGUCUAAUAUAUCAUCAUUUCUUCUCUCCUGACUUCAAUGCCUUUUUUUACAUAUCUUGUAUCCUGUUGGCGAGGCUUCCCUCUGAUAUUCCUGUUCAAGUUCCUAAGUUUUUAAUUCCCAGUUUUCCCUCAGUUUGAGUUUUUUUUUAUUAAUUCUAUUUCCAUUUCAUGUCUUGAGCAAUUUUCUUCAUUCUACUGUUUAUGUUUUUGUUGAUUUAAUUAAUGGAUUUAUGUAUAUCUUUUAUAAUAUUCUUGAUCAUAUCCAUAAUAGCUUUUUUGAAGUACUUGUCUUGUGCUUCAGCUAUAUUGCAUUUCUCAGGGCCUAUUGUUGUAGGGUUGCUUGACUCUCGUGAAGACACAUCGUUCUGGCUGUUAUUGAUUGUGUUUUUAUCCCGCUGUCUGGGUAUCUAUGUUUUUGAUGAUUGUAAUUCCUUGUAUUAAAGUCUUUUUGGAUGGGUUUUCCACUCCUUGGUUUUGCUUACCUGUCUGUCCUUUACAAGCUUGAGGUGGCUGCAGAUUUCAUGGUAGGGAAUGCUUCUGAGUCCCUGUCAGGUGUGACCAAUGAGGAUCCUAAGUAUAACUUGUUUCUAGGUAUUGGGAGCAGAGCCACAGAACUGGGUAUAGAUUAGAAGGGCAGGGUCUGAGAGGGUCUACAGGAAGAAGAAAAGGUGGGUCUUCUAGGAGGAUCUGAUUCCCUGGUCAGGGAGAGACUGCAUUGGAUGAUGGAGGUGAGAUGAAGGGAGGUGAAGUAAGGAAGGAAUGCUGUAGGAGAGGACCUACUUAGUUCCCCGGGGAUGCUCUUGGGAUGUUUUAAAUGGAGUGGUUUUUCAAUUUAAUUUUAAAAAUUUUGUUCAUUGAUAGUGUAUAGAUUGAUAGUGUAGUUGCUCGAACUUUAAUAGUUUACUACAUGGGAGUGUGUGCAUGCAAGCUUCCAAAGAUGCAAAGCAAGCAGUACGCCUACGCGACUAUGAUACCUGUGAACAAUAGCAACGACCAGCACAGUUUGACAACCCCAAGGGUGCAGUAGUGGCCCACAUACCUUGGUGGUAACCAGUAGCUCUCUAAUUGGAUUUAAGACCCACUUAACAAGGAGACCAUGUCUGGUACUGGAAACUUAGCCAACUAUCCAGGUCUAUUGUGGAUCUUGGGGGAGAAGCUACAAACCACCACUUUGCUAAAUCUGUGUCUUUUAUUCUAUUUUCUUUCCUAAUUGCUCUCCAUGGUACUGCUAGUACAAUGUUGAACAAAGUGCCAGAGUGGACAACCUUGUAUUUCUACUCUUUGGAAUAAGCAACUCACAUUUUCUACCAUAAGGCACGAUUUUCUUUGCUCUGUUGAGGGUGUUUUGUAUUAGUCUUAGUUUGCUAAGUAUGUAUGUUCAUGUGUUUAUUGUGACCUAAUUUUCAAUUGUUUAGGAAUGCUUAUUCUACACAUCUUGUGUACUAUAGACUUUGUUGUUUAUUUUAUUGACAUAAAAUGCAUUAAUUAAUUUUUGUAUGUUAAACCAACCUUGUAUUUCUGUGACAAAUUCCACAUAGUUACAUUACAUAACCCCUUUUUUUGCACAUGGGUUAAUUCACUUUGUUAAUAUUGUAUGUUGAGACACUAUCAACUAACCAGGACCCCUCAGAGCUCCCAGAGGCUAAGCCACCAACCAAAGAGCAUAUAUGGGCUGGUUCAUGCCCCCACCCCCACAGACUACAGAUGUAGCAAAGGACUGCCUUGUCUGGCCUCAGUUGGAAAGGAAAUGCUUAAUCCUGUAGAAACUUAAUGCUUCAGGGAAGGGGUAUGAUAGUGGAAUGUGGUAGGAGUGGGUGGGUAAAUAGAGAAGCAAACUUUCAGAAGCAAAGAGGAAGGGGUAGGGUGAAGAACUCGUGGAGGAGGAGCCAGGAAGGGGGGCAUGAUUUGGAAUAUAAAUAAUUGAUAAAAUAUUGUGUGUAGAGAAUAUACAAACAUUCUUGAAAUAUUUUUCUGUAAUUUUGGUAUUUGGGCAAUACUGAACAGAUAGGCUGGGUUAUGAAACUCAGUCCUAUUUUAGAAGAACUAACAAAGAAUUACUAUUAAUUCUGUCUAACAUUUUUGGUAAAAAUUUUGUAGAAAAAUCAUUGUAGCCUAUGCUCUUUUUUUCUGGCUAUUUUUAAAUUCUUUAUUGAACUUAAGUAGUCUGUGUCUAAGGGAAGAGCUUAUUAAUUUCCUAUUUUCUUUAUAAUGUGAGCACUUAGGACUAAAAAUUUUCCUUUAAACACUACUUGAUAGAAUCUCAUGUAUUUUGCUAUAGAAAUAUCUUUCUUCUCAUUCAUCUUAAAAUGUUCCCCAAUUUCUUUGGUCCAUUAUUUAUUUAAUUGCCCAUCAUUUCGUUUGUGUUAAAAUUCAAAAUGCUAGCUAAUGGCUUGUAAGUCACUUAACUGUGACUUCUGGAGAACAUACUGUGUGUGAAUUUAGUCCUUUCUAAUUAUGUGCCCAAGCUUUGUCAACCGUGUGGUCUGUUCUAAAGAGUGCCCCAUGUACAUUUGAGGAGAACCUAUGUGCUGCUAUUGGUGGCCAGAGUGCUAGAAGCCCAUUCUACAUGUCCUAGUGUGCCAAUCUUUCAGUAGAUAAUACAAGGAAAUAGGGUUUUUAAUGUAUCAAUGAAAUAAAUAUUACUCCCCUUAUCCCAUAUUUCUCUUACAUUUUUUUAUUGAGAGGAUUUACAAGUGCUGUGGCUUUUAGAAAUACAUAUACAAAUUGUAGAAAUUCAUGUAUUCUUUGAAUUUCUUUGAGUAGACACUUAUUCUCUCUCUCUCUCUCUCUCUCUCUCUCUCUGUGUGUGUGUGUGUGUGUGUGUGUGUGUGUGUGUGUGUGUGUGUGUGUGUGUGCAGUGCACUGAAGUACAAAUGCAGCCUCAAAUGUUUUUUUCCCUUAUAAAAUUAAUGAUUUGGGGACUGGCAAGAUGGCUCAGCAGGAGCUAAAGCUGAUGACUCGAGUUUAAUCCAUGGAACCUAUAUAUUAGAAGAAAAGAUUCAGCUCCUACAGGUUGCCCUCUGAUUUUGCACACAUGCACAUACAUAUGUAGACACACAAACACACACACACAUACACUAUAAAAUUUUUAAAAAAAACAUAAAGUAGAAAAGGAUUCUGGGGGAAGUUAAGAAGUAAAUUAGAUAAUGAACUAACACAUCUGAAGCCUCACAUCACGUUUUUCUAACAUGUAUAAGUUCAUGUUCCUAUUUCAGUUCUGCUUGUUAUGUGAAUAUUGUUAAUUCUGUGUUUGUGCAUGCAUGCACGUGUGUUUGCACGUAUGUGGAUGUUCAUAUGCAUGUGGUUGUGUGUGCACAUACUCACAAGUGCAUGUAGAGGCCAGAUGUUGAUGGCAAGCAUCUUCCCUUGCCAUUCUCCUCUUUAUUCACAGAGGCAGGAGCUGAGCCUGGAGCUUGUUCAUGCCACUUGUCCAGCUAGUCAGCUUACACAUGGAUCCCAGAUUCACCUGAGUUUUGGGGUUAUGGAUGGGCCAUCCACCUGGCUUCUUGCAAGAGUACUGGAAAUCUGAACUCUGGUCUUCAGGCUAGCAUAGCAAGUGAUUUAUCCAUUGAGCAAUCUUCCCAGUGCUAAUGCCUUAGUGGUACUCUUCUACCAUUGGCUUUUUAAGUUUUAAAGAGCUAUUGAUUAGACAAACCUGACCCGUUGGCUACAUCAGACUAAAAGACCAUGUUUACCAACAUUGUUUCAAAGCCUAAAAGACAGUGUUCUCUUAUUUUAUGCUGAUUUGAAAAGAGAGGAUUUGGUUUCAACUCCCAGUUUGUUUGUUUUCAAUAUUGCCUGCAAGGUAGAAAGCAAUUCUGCAUAGACUUGACGCCUUACUCAGCCGUUGAAAGCAGAUGAGCUUGUCAUGUGACUUCAUUCAGAACUGAAAAAAAUUAAUAAAUCAUAGCUUUUACUAUGUUUCUGUAGCUUCGAAACAGAAUUUACUUUCAAUGAGAAAGAUAAUCAUUUAAUAAAUGUGUGUUGCUUUGGGGAAACAGUGUUUACAUAUAUCGUAGUCAUAACCUUCAAAUUUUAAAAGAAUGAAAUUCACUACAGUAAAACCCACUGAGUUUUACUUAAUAAAAGUUAAACAGUGAAUAAAGCCAGUUACCUCUCUUUCUCUCUCUCUCUCUCUCUCUCUCUCUCUCUCUCUCUCUCUCACACACACACACACACACACACACACACACACACACACACACACACACACACCAUACAUAACUUUUUAGACAGGUUCUCUCGACUUAGCCCAGGCUGGCCUCAGACUUAGAGUAUAAGCUUCAGCCUCCUGGCGCUGGGGUUACAGUUGUGCAUCAGCUUGCCUAGCGCCAUCCUGUGUCAUUUCGAAGGUGUGUUCUGAGGCUUCUGUCUCAGUACUGAGGUUACAGACACUGAGCUCCCAGUUGUGAGAACUGUAACAAUAAAGAGUACUAAGUGCUGCUUUGGUUUCCUCUAAUUCCACUUAGAACAGAUGCUUAACUCAAGCCGAGUCUUACGGUUUCUCUUAACAGUGACAGCUGGAAAUGGGGAUUUAUAGCAAUAAGUGAACAUUCUCUGAAAGUACAUAUCAUGUGUCUUAGUUUGGGCUUCAUCACUGUGAAGAGACACCAUGACCAAGGCAAUUCUAUAAGAAAACAGUUCACUGGUUUACACUUUCAGAGGUUCAGUCCAUUAUCUUCAUAACGGGAAGCAUGGCAGCGUGCAGGCAGAUAUGGUGCUGGAGGAGACAAGAGAGUCUUACAUCUUGAUCCGAAGGCAGCAAAUGGAGACUGGAGUCAGCCUUGGAUGGACCUUGAACAUAGGAGACUCAAAGCCCACUGCCACAGUGACACACUUCUUCCAACAAGGCCACACCCACUCCAACAAGGCCACACCUACUCCAACAAGGCCACACCUCCUAAUAGUGCCACCCCCCCAUGGGCCAAGCAUUCAGACACAUGAGUCCAUGACAGGGGCACCUAUUCAACCCACCUCAUCAUGUGAGUGGAUUUUUUAAAAAAUAAAAGUUAGGGGGUUGGGGAUUUGGCUCAGUGGCAGAGCGCUUGCCUAGGAAGCGCAAGGCCCUGGGUUCGGUUCCCAGCUCAGAAAAAAAAAAAAAAAAGAACCAAAAAAAAAAAAAAAAGACUGUAUAAAAAAAAUAAAAAUAAAAGUUAGUUUGCACAUUAGAUGUAAACUAAGGAACUAUCACUUUUUGGUAUGCAUGUACGUGUGUAUUAAUCUUUCUCUGUUUUUAAUAGUACUUCGAGAAUUUCAUACAACUUAUUUAAUUCAUAGUAGCCCCUGUCUCACUCCUUCCAGAUCCAGCUCUCAUUCUUCUCAACUUUGUGUCCCCCACCCUUUUUAAAACCCAGUACAGUUUGCUGUCCAUGUACUCUUGUAUACAUGGCCUUCCUUGGAGGGGGUGGUCAACUAACACCCCUUCUCCUAGAAGCCAGAGACUGCCAGGAGCUCUUGUUAGCAGUGGGACUUCAUGCCCACCUUCCCUCUUCAUGCAGGACUUUUGUCUGGCCUUAGUCUGUAUACACUGUCAACACUGCUGUGGACUCAUAUAUGCAGCUACCCCGCUGGGUCCAGAAAACAGUUUCCUUGUAGUUGUCCACCACUUUGGUCUUACAAUCUUUCUGACCUCUCUUCACUAUGAUCCCUGAUCUUUGGGAGGAGAGUGUGGCAUAGGUGUCCCCAAUCGAGGACUGCCAGCUCCUGGUUUGUUUUCUCAUUUGGUAUUCUCAUCACUGUUAUUUGUAUUUUUCAUGUGUUCAUUUAACACUACAUAUAGGUUCAACCACUAUGUGCUUAUUGCUCUAGUUGAUCGGAGAACCUGGGAGAGCAGGGUCUAAAAAUGAGGUCCACUACAGAGCAUCAGCCCGUUUAUACUCUGAGGGUCACCUGAGUAAAAUGUCACCUGAGUAAAGUGUCCAAUUGCAAGGACAAGCUGCACCUGGCAAAAACAUGUUUCUCCGUUGAGGCAGAUAAACAAUUAGCAAUUUCCAGUUGUAAUGAAUAAUUUAAAGCAAGCUCACACCUAUCUGCUACACUUGAGGAGCAGGAACCCACAUUCCCAAAACAAUCCUGUGUUUUGAAGACACUGAGGUCAUCCCAAGACUCUUGCUUUCUUGGUGUUUUCUCACAAGCACUCAGAACUCUCACAGGACUCCAUUCGUGGACUGUGUUCUGACAACCGUGUGUAUUUUUAGCACUGUAUUAUCUAUCACCCAGUGUCAUCCCUGGCAUAGAGUAUGUGCCCUCAAACGAACAAAGAAAUGUCAAGAGAUGUGCCUCUAAUCUGGUUUAAAUGCAAAUCCCUUAGACUCUGUCUUGGUUGGCUUCCUUGAUUGAGGUAUUAAUGACAUCUUACUUAGAAUACAUCACUUCAUUGUGAUAGUCAAAGCACUUUAAAGGACUCAUUGAAAGGUGGUUGUAUCCCAUCUCCACCUCUGGUUACUGAAGACGACUCUCUGAACCCUAAGGAUAAAGAUCACUACUUCUGAUCCUUCUCCUUGGCCACCGUAAGAGUCUCUCUCGUACAGUAAGCCAGUUCCUAAGCUGCAAAGGUCAAGCCUUUGCUUCAUCAGGUGUCAGGUUUAACAGCAGAAGCCCAAGGCCAGCACCUCACUGGAGGCUGAUGUGUGGGAGCUGGACAGGGUUACUGUGGAAACAGAAGCUGGUAUAGCUGCCAUAAUUCUGGAAUUCUGAGUCCUAACUGGAGAAACACACCAGUGGGAAGCAGGUAGUUCUGCCUAACCCAAUUCUCAAAAUCCUCAGAAAGCUACCCAUGAAUCACACCCGGGGGCUCUGUCCUGAGAAACCUAGGACAGGAACAUCAUUGAGAGCAGAAGUAGCAACUCUCCGAAGAGGCCUGGAUGAAGCUGAGCAAAGCAUGGUGGACCACAAGACUAGAACUUCUCGUGGUGUCUCCAGGACGCUCAUGUGCAAAGAUGUUCAUUCUCAACUCCCAGGAUUUCAGUUUAAAUAAAAAUGACUAGGCCAGGCAGUGGUGUCCACGCCUUUAAUCCCAGCUCUCAGGGCAGAGGCAGAGGCAGAGGCAGGCAGCUCUGAGUUCCAGGCCAGUCUGGUUUGCAGAGUGUGAUCCAGGACAGCCAGGACUACACAGAGAAACACUGUCUCAAUAAUAAUAAUAAUAAUAAUAAUAAUAAUAAUACACAAUUUUAAAGUAAGUCUCUGCAUUCGUGGAGAUUAUGUUGUACUCAUGAAUGCUUUGUUGGUUUUGAUCUUCACAGCUCUCUGGGGGAAGCUGAACAAUAUUUAAUUUAUUUGCUAAUAGAGCCUGUGUGAUGCUAGGUGUUUCUUAGAAACUAGCCAGCAGGUCUCAGAAGCUGCUGUGUCAUGUUCCCAUCGUACUAUCCUGCUUCCACUAACUCCUCUCUGUUAGGUCAGAAGUUUUUGAAGAAAUAUAAGGUCUGUUUUAUUUAAUAGCUAUAAGGCUAAUAGCAUAAAUGCAAACUGAUGGCAUGUUUCUGAUUUUGAAAUCAUGCCACUUCAAGAUACCUUUAUAAAAACCAUGUAAGUCAGAAUUGCUUUGUGCAGAUCUGGCUUGCCAUUCAUUUAAUACCUGACUUAUCGGCAAACCUGUAGGAACUGGGCUCCCUGUGGUUAAAUGUUCAAAUACUGUACACAUCACCCCAGACAGUACCUGUCCCGGAUAACAUAUUAGCUGCUGAGUAAGGGGAAUUCUUAUGCCAUCGGCUGCCUCUCGGAAGGUGUGUUAUCACCUAGCUCCUUUCUAAGUCAACACACCAAGGGAGCCACGGGUACAUUAUGUUGAUCUGCACAUCUUUUAGCCCAAUGAGCAUCUUAUGAGGAGAAAACAUCCUUUGCUUUUAAUGUCAGUGGAUGCCUUAGGAGAUGAAGUUUCCCUUUGAACUUCGUUGCUGCGAGAUAAUUUCUUAUUAUCUCAAGGUUCCUAACAUUCAAAUGUAGAUGUUGUCACCUUAUGAACUUACAGCGCUUUCCCAUUGCUGAUAAGUCACUUACAAAACAUAAGUCAGGUAUGAUUAUUAGUCUAAGCAUGCCAACUUCUAGAAAGAACUUAAAUGACCUAGUAAAUGUUUAGGCUCACAUAGAAUAAACCAGAUAUGGAAAAUAUAUCUAGUUAGCAGAAAUGACCAAGCAAUCUCUUUAUAGCUGUGUUGUGCCAGUCAGACAUUUGAUAGACAUCUACUUGACCUUUUGUCCCACUACAGGAUUAUAUUACGAUUUGCAUGGGAAUUGUCUGCUCAAGGGUGAGGCAUUGAAGGUUUGGUUCCUAGCACAACAAUGUUUAGAAGUAAGGGUUCAGUGAUUGGAUCUUGAGGGGUGGGUGAAGUGGAAACAUAAGAGUUCUUUGGGUGAGGCAUUGAAGGUUUGGUUCCUAUCACAACAAUGUUUAGAAGUAAGGGUUCAGUGAUUGGAUCUUGAGGGGUGGGUGAAGUGGAAACAUAAGAGUUCUUUGGGAAGUCGGUUGGAUGGUGUUUUGCUGAGGCAAACAUGUGAAGGAAAGUUUUGUUAACGUGGACACAGUUGUGAAAGACCAAGGCAGACUCAUGAAGGAACAUUUCACUGAUGCAGACACAGGAGAGAGGAUGUUCUGUUAAAGCAAGCAUGUGAAAGGACACGGGAUGAAAGGUUCUUUACUAACAACACGCACAUGUUGGUCCGCCUUACAUUGUGUAGUUGAGCUGCAUUUGUCAGGACUCUAUAGAGAGAAACGCACCAAAAACCUUCUGGUGGUCUGCUGCAGUUUCUUGCCGCUUCCGAGAACUCAGACUGACUGGAUGCAUGUGCUUUGGCAAGACAUAUGUAGGACAAUUAUAUUUGGGUAUAAAUAGGAUUCCGCCACAGAGUGAUGGAGACAGAGCUUGGCUUGGGGUACCAGCUAGCUGUGCCUCUCUUGUGGGUCUCAUGUCUUCACUGAUCUUCACUUCCCUGAGAGAGGCACAGCCGAGAACUUCUCCUGGUGUUCCUACUGGUCCCUCCUGUUGAGUCUGAGGCCUGACUGUCUCUGCUAGGUCAUGCCACUGCUGUUGACCCAACUCUACUGAACUGGACUGCUGGUGUAUCCAUGAAGUCCAUGAUAUGUUUGUGAGUGAAUCAAGCUGCCACUGCUGACCUGUGAACCAAACUGUCAAUUUCCAGAUAACACAGCUGGGAGUUACUCUAAAGAACCUUUCUAAACAGCUCCAUUUCCCUCUCAACCCCUGUAUCCUUUCUUUCCCACUACCUCUGGUGGGUUGUGGGCUACAACGCAUCUAAGAACCAUCAUUAAAAAAAGUUUGUUUUUUUUUUUUUUAAAUCAAAGUUACAGUUGGGCCUUCAAUAGGGGAAGAAUCCACUCACAUGUUUGUAACUUGAUGGCGUAAUUGCAAGUGGUUGGACAGGAGGUGGAAUGUAGCUGGCAGACAUAGAUUACUAGGGCUAUAGCACUGGUCAUUACAUCCUGCUCCCUGGCCUUCCUCCCUAUUGUUUCUUCUUCCUGGAGGUGAUGAGCUAAGUGGGCCUAUUCCAGGAUGUCUUCUCUGCCAUGACUCUCCAGUGUACCACAGCCCCGAGUGACCAUGGACUGAAAAUUCAAACCAUGAGCCCAAAGAAUCUCUUCUUUUAAAAGUGUCUAUUUCAGAAACUUUGUCAGAGCGGUUGUCUUAGUGACCUUCCCAUUGUUGCCAAACAAAAUGCCUCACUUUGGGUUGGAGAGACAGUUCCGUUGUUAAGAGCACCUGUUGUUCUCAAUGAGGACUUAGGUUCAAUCCCAGCACCCACAUGGCACCUCACAACUGUCCAUCACUCCAGCUCCAGGGGACUUAAUGUCCUCUUCUGACCUCAGUGGGCACCAGUCCAGAAUCCUGGUCCAGAUAGUGGUGCCAUCUACAUUCAAGGCUAAGGCUUCUCCCUUCAUCAGUAGACAGCAAGAAGGCACAAUCACUGAAGAAGCGGGGCAGACUCUUACCAGAUACCCAAUCUUCUGGGCCCUGGAUGUUUGACUUCUCAGCCUCUUGAACUGUGAGGAAGAGCCUGAUAAACUACCACCCUCGGAUGUUUCUUCACAGCCAUCUGGGCAGCCUAGACACUGACUCUCAAGUUAAUCAAGCUCUUCAUCAAAACCUUUCUUCUGCUCAGCCCUGGCCACUCUGUCACAACCUUAGCUUCCUCUGGUGUCUGAUUUUUCUGGUGCGUGAUCCAUUACUGUGGUUUGGAUGCUCGACUUUGCUGCUGUUCUUGGUCCACAGCCGUUCUUUGAUGUACAGGAAACAGAUCUGGGUGUCACUCUCUGGGAUUUAGGAUGGCUGACUUUUCUUACAGCAAACCGGAAUCCAAAUCAUAAAUAUAUCAUUUCCCUUGUUCCCUCCCAGAGUUGACAGAGGUAGAGAAAUUAGCUUUGGACCUGGGUUGGGUGCGUGAGCAGAAGUGGAGCAGAGAGCCCAGCUGUAACUUUGCCAAGAGUGAUACCGAGCAGGUCCCUAAGGAAAGCAUAAAGGUUUGGGUUGAAUAUGAGGGGUUUCCAGAAAAUCUAGAGAACGCUUCUGAGCAAAACAGACUUGGUAUGGGCAAUAAUGCUCUCUCCUUUUCCAAUGUUUAAUGGAAAAUAGGACAGGAGGAAGAGAAAGGUGGCUCAGCAGUUCAGAGCUCUGCCUGCUUUUCUAGAGGUCCUGAGUUCAAUUCCUAGCAACCGCAUGGUGGCUCACAACCAUUGAUAAAGAGAUCUGGUGCCCUCUUCUGGUGUGCAGGCAUACAUGCAGGCAGAACACUGCAUACAUAAUAAAUAAACAAACAAACAAAUAAAUAAAUCUUAGACAAAAGAAAA